rnacentral:lncRNA from 1 species
AGAACUUCCUGGAGGCAGCUUCUGAGUGACUAAUUACCACAAUCUGAAAAUAUAAAAUAACUCCCAUUCAUCAUCUUUCAGUCCUGCGGGGCAGGAAACCUCCUGUCUCAGGGCCUCACGAGGCUAGAGUCAAAAUGUCAGCUGCCGUGGGCUCUUAUCUGCAGACUCUGGGGAAAGCCCACUUCCAGGCUCAUCCAGGAUGUUAACAGAAUUGUCUCCAUGGGCCUAGGACUGAAGUCCACGUCUUCUUGCUGGAUGUUGGCUGGUGUCAUUCUCACUCCUAGAGGCCACUGCAUUCCUUCCACGAUGGCUUGAACACCUCCAUCAUCAGAGCCAGCAAGCAAGAGCACGCUGAAGACGCUUCGAGAUGCAGCAAGACGCCUGUAAUCCCAGCCCUUUGGGAGACCGAGGCAGGUGGAUCACGAGGUCAGGAGAUCGAGACCAUCCUGGCCAACAUGGUGAAGCCCCGUCUCUACUGAAAUACAAAAAGUUAGCCAGACGUGGUGGCACGUGUCUAUAGUCCCAGCUACUCGGAGGCUGAGGCAGGGGAAUCGCUUGAACCCGGGAGGCGGAAAUUGCAGUGAGCUGAGAUUGCGCCACUGCACUCCAGCCUGGCAACAGAGCGAGACUCCAUCUCAAAAAAAAAGGUGCUGCAAGACGCUUCCAAUCUCUGUGACUUCCCCUUCUGCCAUACCUCUUUACUUUUUCCCCCUCUUUUGGGGAGGGGGGAGGGUUUAAAAUAAAUAUAAAAUUUACCAUCAUAACUGUGAAAGGAAAAUAAAUCUCAGGACUCCAAAAUCACUAAGCCAAAGGGAAAAGUCAAGCUGGGAACUGCGUUGGGCAAACUGCCUCGCCUUUUCUUCUUUAAUAAAAUAGCUACGAAGAUUUAAAAAGCUACAUACCUCCCUCACAAUUUGCCCGCUAGGAAAUUUUUCGUGGGCACCCAAGAUCUUUACCCUAAAACAGUUUUGUUGAAUUUUACCCUAACAAUGUACAUUGACAACUGAUCUUCACAGGUUCCAAACAAAGGAUGGAACUCUAAGUCAUCCCUCUGCUCACCUGAUUGCUUCCUCUGGUAUAAAAGUGCAGAUUCACCGAGCCAGACUAAGGCAUAAGUGACUAUUCCUCUACCCCCGCAACCUGUAAAUUGUGUAUUUCAGUGAAAGUCUGAUCAAAGACUCACAAGAAUGCAACCUUUGUCUCUUAUCUCUCCACAUAUUUUUAAAAUUUCUCCCUCUUUCCCAAUAUCCACCCUUUCCCUUUUUUUUUUUUUUUUUUUUUUUUGAGACAGAGUCUUGCUUCGUUGCCCAGGCUAGAGUGCAGUGGUGCGAUCUCAGGUCACUCAGCAACCUCCGCCACAGCACCUGGCCAGUUUCCCCUUUAAAUAUUGAAGUCCUACAAAUCAUCCUUGAAGGAAGGCAUAGACCUGCCUCCCAGGCACUCCUUAACCUUGGCAAAAUAAACUUACUAAAUAGAUCGAGACCUGUCUCAGAUAUUUUUAGUUCACAUAACUAUAUUGAAGUGUACAGCUCAUUGAUAUUAAAUAUAUUAAUGAUGCUAUACAACUAUCACCUCCAACUCCAGAACUCUUUUUAUCUUGCAAAACUGAAAUUCUGGACCCAUUAAGCACUGACUCCUCAUUCCCUCAGCCCCUGGAAACCACCAUUCUCCUUUCUAUCCCUAAGAUUUUGGCGACUCUAGGUUCCUCAUUUAAGUGGAAUCCUGCAGUAUUUGUUCUUUUGUGACUGGCUUAUGUCAUUUAGCCUAAAAUCCUCAAGGUUCAUCCAUGUAGCAUGUGUCCAAAUUUCCUUCCUUUUUAAAGCUGAAUAAUACUCCACUGUAUGUAUCCAUGACAUUUUGCUUAUCCAGUCAUCCAUGGAUGGGCACUGGGUUGCUUCCACCUUUUGACUAUUGUGAAUAAUG